AGAGAGAGACAUGCGCGCAUAUCAAUAAGCGGAGGAAAAGAAACUAACAAGGAUUCCCCUAGUAACGGCGAGUGAAGCGGGAAGAGCUCAAAUUUGAAAUCUUAAAGGUUUUCCCUUGACGAAUUGUAGUUUAAAGAAGUGUUUUCUGUUGAGGUUUUGGUAAAAGUUCUUUGGAAUAGGACAUCAUAGAGGGUGAGAAUCCCGUAUUUGACCUUUACUUUCAACUUUGUGAUACACUUUCAAAGAGUCGGAUUGUUUGGGAAUGCAGUCCAAAAUGGGUGGUAAAUUUCAUCUAAAGCUAAAUAUUGGCGAGAGACCGAUAGCGAACAAGUACCGUGAGGGAAAGAUGAAAAGAACUUUGAAAAGAGAGUUAAACAGUACGUGAAAUUGUCAAAAGGGAAGCGUUUGACACCAGUGUUGUUUUUCUGAAAAUCAAUUAAAGAACUGUUUAUGCUAAGUUGUUUAGACUUUAUCAGCUAACUGUUUAGUUUUGAGCUUUUCUUUAAUGCACUUUUCAGUUAACAAGUCAACAUCAAUUUCUUUUGCUGUAAAAGAGCUUGAGGAAGGUGGCUUGAGAUUCGUCUUAAGUGUUUAUAGCCUCUUGCCUAUGCAGUCGGAGAGAUUGAGGUCUGCAGCGUAGAUCCUUCGGGGCUAAAUGCAUUUGUGCUAAGUUAUAGCAUUUUAUAGACAACUUGUUGACUAUGAUUUGUCUUGUAGCUUACUCGCUUAUGUUAUUUUACCUACGCUUAGGAUGUUGAGCGCAUGUCUCUCUCU
rnacentral:rRNA from 1 species